rnacentral:rRNA from 1 species
CCCUUAGAUGUUCUGGGCUGCACGCGUGCUACACUGAUUAUUUCAACAAGUGUUUUAACUGGAGAGUUUGCGUAAUCCUGAAAUGUUAUCGUGAUGGGAGUAGAGUAUUGUAUUUGUUAAUCUUUAACGAGGAAUUCCUAGUAAGUGUAGGUUUAUAAGUUGUUCUGAUUACGUCCCUGCCCUUUGUACACACCGCCCGUCGCUCCUACCGAUUGAUUGAUCCGGUGAAUUGCAUAGAAUUUUGCGUUUUACAUGACGGAAGACGAAGUGUUUUAAACCUUAUCAUUUAGAGGAAGGAGAAGUCGUAACA